UAUGGAGAGUAAUUCAAUAAUGAGCCUGUGAACCUUGUCAGGUCCGGAAGGAAGCAGCAAUAAACAAGUAAUUUAUGUGAAAUUAUUCUCCAUAGAA
rnacentral:SRP_RNA from 1 species